GACAGAGGAUGCAAGCGUUAUCCGGAAUUAUUGGGCGUAAAGAGCGCGCAGGCGGUAUGACAAGUCAGAUGUGAAAGAGGCCGGCUUAACCGGCAAGGGUCAUUUGAAACUGUCAGACUAGAGUGCAGCAGAGGAUAGUGGAAUUCCCGGUGUAGUGGUGAAAUGCGUAGAUAUCGGGAGGAACACCAGUGGCGAAGGCGACUAUCUGGGCUGCAACUGACGCUGAGGCGCGAAGGCUAGGGUAGCAAACAGG
rnacentral:rRNA from 1 species